GACGAACGCUGGCGGCGUGCCUAAUACAUGCAAGUAGAACGCUGAAGAGAGGAGCUUGCUCUUCUUGGAUGAGUUGCGAACGGGUGAGUAACGCGUAGGUAACCUGCCUGGUAGCGGGGGAUAACUAUUGGAAACGAUAGCUAAUACCGCAUAAAAUUGAUUAUUGCAUGAUAAUUAAUUGAAAGAUGCAAUUGCAUCACUACCAGAUGGACCUGCGUUGUAUUAGCUAGUUGGUGAGGUAACGGCUCACCAAGGCGACGAUACAUAGCCGACCUGAGAGGGUGAUCGGCCACACUGGGACUGAGACACGGCCCAGACUCCUACGGGAGGCAGCAGUAGGGAAUCUUCGGCAAUGGGGGGAACCCUGACCGAGCAACGCCGCGUGAGUGAAGAAGGUUUUCGGAUCGUNAAG
rnacentral:rRNA from 1 species